rnacentral:rRNA from 1 species
CACGCCGCGUGAGUGAUGAAGGUUUUCGGAUCGUAAAGCUCUGUUGUUAGGGAAGAACAAGUGCGAGAGUAACUGCUCGCACCUUGACGGUACCUAACCAGAAAGCCACGGCUAACUACGUGCCAGCAGCCGCGGUAAUACGUAGGUGGCAAGCGUUGUCCGGAAUUAUUGGGCGUAAAGGGCUCGCAGGCGGUUUCUUAAGUCUGAUGUGAAAGCCCCCGGCUCAACCGGGGAGGGUCAUUGGAAACUGGGAAACUUGAGUGCAGAAGAGGAGAGUGGAAUUCCACGUGUAGCGGUGAAAUGCGUAGAGAUGUGGAGGAACACCAGUGGCGAAGGCGACUCUCUGGUCUGUAACUGACGCUGAGGAGCGAAAGCGUGGGGAGCGAACAGGAUUAGAUACCCUGGUAGUCCACGCCGUAAACGAUGAGUGCUAAGUGUUAGGGGGUUUCCGCCCCUUA